rnacentral:lncRNA from 1 species
CAUAAGGUACUUUGUUCAUGCCUAUCAAAACACACAAACUAGAAGGAGUCAUAACCUUGGCAAAACUUGGGUACCAUGGCUUUGUUGUUGGACCAAUGAUGUGUGGAUGGACUAUUUCUUGUUCUGGAAGGAAGCAAACAGUGGUACAGGACACAUUGAGAAAAGACUCCAAGGAUGAUGCAGGAUGGUGAGGGAAUCCAUCUGAGCCCAGGAGUGGAAACAAUGGGCAGAUGGCAAAGGAGACACCCUUAAAAGGUAAUAAAAAGAACGGCAGCCACA